GACGAACGCUGGCGGCGUGCUUAACACAUGCAAGUCGAACGGAAAGGCCCUGCUUUUGUGGGGUGCUCGAGUGGAGAACGGGUGAGUCACACGAGAGUAACCUGCCCUUGACUUUGGGAUAACUUCAGGAAACUGGGUAUAAUACCGGAUAGGAGCUCCUGCUGCAUGGUGGGUGUUGGAAAGUUUCGGCGGUUGGGGAUGGACUCGCGGCUUAUCAGCUUGUUGGUGGGGUAGUGGCUUACCAAGGCGUUGACGGGUAGCCGGCCUGAGAGGGUGACCGGCCACAUUGGGACUGAGAUACGGCCCAGACUCCUACGGGAGGCAGCAGUGGGGAAUAUUGCACAAUGGGCGGAAGCCUGAUGCAGCAACGCCGCGUGCGGGAUGACGGCCUUCGGGUUGUAAACCGCUUUCGCCUGUGACGAAGCGUGAGUGACGGUAAUGGGAAAAGAAGCACCGGCUAACUACGUG
rnacentral:rRNA from 1 species